ACGAGAAGCUGGACGCCACCACCAGGAGCCUGAGACUGGCUGCUCUUUCUUCCUCCAUCAAAGACCCUGGCAAAUCCUAAGAACUCGCUGAGAUCAGACACACUGUCUCCUCACAACGCCUUACCACUUCAGACCUGAUGAUUCUGCAGUCACCGGGGCGAAACCUCUCUCAGAUUAACUCAACCUCAAGGUAAACCUUUUAUGUGUAUCUGUGCAAACACAAACACUUGGUGCUAACAGCUGGCUCUACCUGCCUGGUGCUCAUCCAGAACCCAAGAACAACAUGACUGUACUCGGAGGCCUUUUGCACUCAACCCUAAUCCUCCUCAGCCAUCUCAACCAGGAGUUACUGUGAGGUCGACAGCAAACUUUAAGAAAUACCAGUGAGAACACUGUGAAGAAGGGUGUGUAAAGUGUUAAAAUGUUAUUUAUGAGAACCUAACUGAAUGUAUUUCAUGGAUUUGAAUACUGUUACAACCAAAGUAGCCUUGCUGUUACAUUUCUUGCCAUGGUUCCAACACUUAAGUAUUUGUUUCUCUUUAAACAUUGUUUUACCGCAUGACCAGCCAUGUCCUUUUAUUAUCAUGCUCAUGUGUUUGUGCUGAAAUAAUAUAAAGAAACUAUAUUAAAUGUAACACUGGUGCCUUUUGAGCAAUUUGCAAAUGUAUCAUGAAAUAAUGUGACAACGUUGUUUUUCAAUGUUUUACAUACUGCUUUUAAAUGUAUUGACCAAUUUUCUAAAUGACUUCUAGUUUUAUUUCAUGCAGUAUAUAUUUGUAUAAAGAAAUAACCACAAAUGGAAGUCUGUUUUUAUGAAAUGCAAAGGAAGUACAUGCACUAUGAAUAAAUCCUCAUGCAUCUAA